GGGCCUGUAGCUCAAUGGUAGAGCAGGCCGCUCAUAACGGCUAGGUUGGGGGUUCGAGCCCCUCCGGGCCCACCA
rnacentral:tRNA from 1 species